rnacentral:lncRNA from 1 species
UCCUAACACUAUAUUUCCAUCACAUUUCUCUCCAAACCAAGAGGGUAAAGGGAAAGAAGAAAACUUCCAAACCAAUCGUUCAUAAUAACUUACGCAAAAUAAAUAAAUAAAAAAUAAAGAACCAUCCAAAACUUCAACCCCCCCGCCCUUUCUCUACUCUUUCAAACAUCAAUUCAGCUACUUCACAUGCACAGCAAUCCAAGUCUACUGUUGCUUGCACUCUGGAGGCCGCUCACCCUGCUGACCGUCCCCAGCUUGUGUCCUUC